rnacentral:lncRNA from 1 species
CAUCAGUAAACGUGAUGAAGUAAGAGUAUCCUCCUAUGUCUUGAGUCGAUAUUAGACCACAUACAUUAGAUGUAUAAGGUCUAAAAUAUCACUCACCCGAUCUCCAUAUCCAGUAAAUGGAGUCUUGAUUAUUUUUUUCAUGAGGUAAGAUUCACAAGUUCCAUAUGAUUCAUAAUCAUAAAGAUCAAAAAAAUUAUCUUUGUAUAACUUAUUAAUCCUUGACUUAUUUAUAUGGCCA